rnacentral:rRNA from 1 species
UACGUAGGGUGCAAGCGUUGUCCGGAAUUAUUGGGCGUAAAGAGCUCGUAGGCGGUUCGUCGCGUCGGCUGUGAAAACCUGAGGCUCAACCUCAGGCCUGCAGUCGAUACGGGCGGACUUGAGUACUGCAGGGGAGACUGGAAGUUCCUGGUGUAGCGGUGAAAUGCGCAGAUAUCAGGAGGAACACCGGUGGCGAAGGCGGGUCUCUGGGCCGUAACUGACGCUGAGGAGCGAAAGCGUGGGGAGCGAACAGG